ACAACAAAAAUAUAAUUAUGAGCACAAUAAAAAAGGAUAGAAAAUUGAAUCUGAAACUAUUAAUAUGAAAUUAUUCAAUCAUCAAAGUUUUAUAUAUGCAUAUAUCAAACAUGUAUAUACAUAAU